rnacentral:rRNA from 1 species
UUGAGGACAAAGGCCGUAGUACGCGGGAUAAUGAUGAUGUCCUGCUUGAUGCUCACGGCAUUCUCGGUGUCACCAUGGCUGCCUUCGCUGACUAUAAAGUCAACAGUGGUGGUUAUCAGCGUUCUUAUUCUGAUUGGAAGGACCUGAGCAAGGUGGUGGAGAUGGAGGCGUCGCUCAUGUACGACAUAUACACCAAGGCAACCGUAAUCCACACUUGGGGUGGCUAUUACCAUCCGUGUCCUCUCGCUUCCCGCCACCCCCACCGCACUCUGUCUCUUCCAUGGUGAAAAAGGCCUAGCCCUGGAGAAUGCAGAUCGGAUGGCCACAUACAUCUCGCUGGUUGGUACCCUGUUGCUGGACGGGAGAUGGCUGCUGAGAGCGUUAGGGUCCACCUGGACAUAUGCAUUGUUGGUUGAUAAACAACAAGACCAAGAAGAAGAAAG